CUCGCCUUCCCAAGGAGUGCUAAGUUAGUGGCACAGUUGGUGCUUGUGAUUGGUGAGCUAGAUGCUAGCUGGACUGCUCAUGGACUGCUAAGUUCCAGCUGAACCCAUAAAGACGUGGGUGAUGGCAACGCUAAUUCCACUGGGUUAAAUUCCAGCAAAAGGACAGGUGCUCACAGCUGCCCAGAAUGGCAUUGAGAAAUAUGAGUUUGUCCUUGUCCUUUUGACCACUGGUUGGAUUCCUGAGAGCUUUAAUUAUCCCUCUGUGAACAGAGCUGGUCGUUGCCGUGGUGUUUAUCAGCUCCAGAGCUGAGGAAAUUGGGCUUUAUCUCUCUCAGAUUAGAUCGCUACAAGCCUCAUUGGCUCCGUCCUUUGACCUCAGUAACAAAAUGACUUUUGAUCACCAAUGCUGGGCCCCGCUCCGGUAGUAACGAAUCUGCCUGCCAGUGCAGGAGCUGCAAGAGAGGGCCCUCCUCCCAGUAAGAUGAGUGAGUGUAUCUCCCAAGGGUGAUAGCAGCGGAUCAAGCCACAGCCUUUACACCACUGACCAUCAGAGGGAUGUGUGGACCCGUCAACGUGGUCAAGCAUUGAGGACCUAAUGAACUGAAUGAAGAAGCAAUAGGUUUCUGAAAACAGACAGAAUCUUGACAGAAUUCUUGGGCUUCUCACCGUUUAAUCUAGAAACAGGGUUCUCCAAGCAGAUAUCAAGCUAAAAAGAAGUGCCCAGAAUGGGAGAAGGGGA
ensembl:lncRNA